UAGGGAAUAUUAGAAAUGGCCGAAAGUCUGAUCUAGCAACACCGCGUGUGCGAAGAAGGCCUUCGGGUCGUAAAGCACUUUUUGGAAGGAAUAGGAAGGAAUGUACUUCCAGAAUAAGUCUCGGCUAACUACGUGCCAGCAGCCGCGGUAACACGUAGGAGGCAACCGUUAUCAGGAUUUACUGGGCGUAAAGCGCGUGUAGGUGGUACUGUAAGUAGGGCGUGAAAGCUCCUGGCUCAACUGGGAGAGGCCGUUCUAAACUACAGAACUAGAGGAUGGUAGAGGGAGGUGGAAUUCCAGGUGUAGCGGUGGAAUGCGCAGAUAUCUGGAGGAACACCGGUGGCGAAGGCGGCCUCCUGGACCAUUCCUGACACUCAGACGCGAAAGCUAGGGUAGCAAACG
rnacentral:rRNA from 1 species